rnacentral:rRNA from 1 species
UACGUAGGGUGCGAGCGUUAAUCGGAUUUACUGGGCGUAAAGCGUGCGCAGGCGGCCCGUUAAGACAGGUGUGAAAUCCCUGGGCUCAACCUAGGAAUUGCGCUUGUGACUGGCGGGCUCGAGUACGGUAGAGGGGGGUGGAAUUCCUGGUGUAGCGGUGAAAUGCGUAGAGAUCAGGAGGAACACCGAUGGCGAAGGCAGCCCCCUGGGCCUGUACUGACGCUCAUGCACAAAAGCGUGGGGAGCAAACAGG